rnacentral:rRNA from 1 species
CCUACGGGUGGCAGCAGUGAGGAAUAUUGGUCAAUGGGCGGAAGCCUGAACCAGCCAAGUCGCGUGAAGGAUGACGGCCCUAUGGGUUGUAAACUUCUUUUGUCAAGGAACAAAGUCCCGCCCGUGUGCCUGUUUGCGUGUACUGUAAGAAUAAGCAUCGGCUAACUCCGUGCCAGCAGCCGCGGUAAUACGGAGGAUCCGAGCGUUAUCCGGAUUUAUUGGGUUUAAAGGGUGCGUAGGCGGACUGUUAAGUCUGCGGUAAAAGCUCGGGGCUCACCCCCGGCGAGCCGUUGAAACUGGGUGUCGUGAGAGGGCGAGAGGUAUGCGGAAUGCGUAGUGUAGCGGUGAAAUGCUUAGAUAUCACGAAGAACUCCGAUUGCGAAGGAAGCGUAACGGCGGCGAACUGACGCUGAGGCACGAAAGCGUGGGUAUCGAACAGGAUUAGAGACCCUUGUAGUC